CAUAGCGAUAUCGUGGCAUUCAAUAAGCGGAGGAAAAGAAACUAACGAGGAUUCCCCUAGUAACGGCGAGUGAAGCGGGAAGAGCUCAAAUUUGAAAUCUUCAAGGGUUUCCCUUGACGAAUUGUAGUUUAUAGAAGUGUUUUCUGUUAGUAGAGUGGCAAAGGUUCUUUGGAAUAGGACAUCAUAGAGGGUGAGAAUCCCGUAUUUGACCAUUAUUUCCAGCUGUGUGAUACACUUUCAAAGAGUCGGAUUGUUUGGGAAUGCAGUCCAAGAUGGGUGGUAAAUUUCAUCUAAAGCUAAAUAUUGGCGAGAGACCGAUAGCGAACAAGUACCGUGAGGGAAAGAUGAAAAGAACUUUGAAAAGAGAGUUAAACAGUACGUGAAAUUGUCAAAAGGGAAGCGUUUGACACCAGUGUUGUUUAGUUGAAAAUCAAUUCAAUAGUUUUUGAUUCUAAGUAGUAUUGACUUCAUCAGCUUGCUGCUUUCUUCUCAGAAAUUAUUGAAUGCACUUUUCAGUUAACAAGUCAACAUCAAUUUCUUUUGUUGUAAAAGGGUAAGAGGAAGGUGGCUUGCGCUUCGGCUCAAGUGUUUAUAGCCUUUUAUCUCUGCAAUCGGAGAGAUUGAGGUCUGCAGCGUAGAUCCUUCGGGGUUAGAUACAUUGGUGCUAAGCUAUAGCCUUGUAUAGACAACUUGUUGACUAUGCUCAGUCAUGUAGCUUACUCGCUGAUGCUAUUUUACCUACGCUUAGGAUGUUGAUAUGCAUGACUGAUAU
rnacentral:rRNA from 1 species